UACGGGGGGGGUAAGCGUUGUUCGGAAUUACUGGGCGUAAAGGGCUCGUAGGCGGCCAACUAAGUCAUACGUGAAAUCCCUCAGCUUAACUGGGGAACUGCGUGUGAUACUGGUUGGCUUGAAUCCGGGAGAGGGAUGCGGAAUUCCAGGUGUAGCGGUGAAAUGCGUAGAUAUCUGGAGGAACACCGGUGGCGAAGGCGGCAUCCUGGACCGGCAUUGACGCUGAGGCGCGAAAGCCAGGGGAGCAAACGGG
rnacentral:rRNA from 1 species